rnacentral:lncRNA from 9 species
UGGGCGUCCCUGGCAGUCGGGCGAUGUGGUGGGCUGCAUGAUCGACCUCACAGAGAACACCAUUAUCUUCACGCUCAACGGCGAGGUCCUCAUGUCCGACUCGGGCUCUGAAACCGCCUUCCGGGAUAUCGAGGCUUCCUGCCCGUCUGCAGCUUGGGACCUGGCCAGGUGGGCCACCUGAACCUGGGCCAGGAUGUGAGCUCCCUGCGGUUCUUUGCCAUCUGCGGCCUCCAGGAAGGUUUUGAGCCAUUCGCCAUCAACAUGCAGCGUCCCGUCACUACCUGGUUCAGCAAAAGCCUUCCCCAGUUUGAGGCCGUGCCCCUCGAGCAUCCCCACUACGAGGUGAGGACUGAUCCCACGCAAAACCUUCCGAUCUGCCUCUAAACCUCCUUCUUCCCACAACUCUCUUCCCAAGAGAAGCAAGCUUCUCUUUUGCUUCUGCAGAAGCCCACAAACCAUGUCGAAGCGGGUGUCAUGAUGGGCUCCCAGGGGCUGCCUUGGAGAUUGUAACCUUGGCAACCACACCUUUCUGAGCUCCAGGUACCUUACCUACAAAGUGGGGGAAGGGUGAAAAGAGAAGCUGGAUUAAGUGACCCCAAUGUUCCAGCCCUUACAACCAUCUGAUCCUACAACAAGCUUUAAAGAAAUAUAAAUUCCUAGGUAUAUUUUGGCACUUUUCUUGCUAAUUGUUCUCUAUAGUAGUGGUUUUUUUUUUUUUUUUUUUGGCUGCGCCCACGACAUGUGGAAGUUCCCAGGCAAGGGAUCGAACCUGAGCCAUAGCAGGACAAUGCCAGAUUCUUAAUCUGCUGAGCUACCAGGGAACUCCUGUGGUGGGUUUUUUUUUGGGGGGGGUAUUUAUUUAUUUAUUUUUGUCUUUUUGCCAUUUCUUGGGCCGCUCCCACGGCAUAUGGAGGUUCCCAGGCUAGGGAUCCAAUCGGAGCUGUAGCUGCCAGCCUAUGCCAGAGCCACAGCAACACCAGAUCCGAGCCGCGUCUGCGACCUACACCACAGCUCACAGCAACGCCGCAUCGUUAACCCACUGAGCAAGGGCAGGGAUCGAACCCUCAACCUUAUGGUUCCUAGUCGGAUUCGUUAACCACUGCGCCACAACGGGAACUCCGGUAUUUAUUUUUAGUAACUCUUCAUUCAUCUGAGUAUCCUAAUUUUUGGACCCUAGUACCUUUCUUUCUUUUCUUUUUUUUUUUUUAGGGCCACUCCUGCGACAUAUGGAGGUUUCCAGGCUAGCGGUCCAAUUGGAGCUGUAGCUGCUGGCCUACACCACAGCCACAGCAACACCAGAUCCGAGCCACGUCUGACCUGCACCACAGCUCACAGCAACGCUGGAUCUUUAACCUGCUGAGUGAGACCAGGGAUCAAACCCAUGUCUUUAUGGAUACUAAUUGGGCUCAUUAACCACUGAGCCAUGAUGGCAACUCCCCUAGUGCUUUCUUUCCCAAGGUUAAACUCAGAGUCAGAUUCUGACCAUAAAAAACCCACAUGUGGGAGUUCCCUAGUGGCUCAGUGGGUUAAGGAUCUGGCAUUGUCACUGCUGUGGUGCAGGUUCCAUCCCUGGCCUAGGAACUUCCACAUGCCACAGGGGUAGCCAGUAAACCAAACCAAACCAAACAAAGCCACAUAGACCAAAAGUGACAGUCCUUUUCUCAACCCGGGAAGAACUUGAAGUCCACAUGUCUGAGCUUCACCUGACACUUUAGAACCAGACAGAUCUGGAGUUGGCCUUUUAUCUGCUCUGUGACCUUGGGUAUGUGACUCUCUCCUCCUGAGCCUGUUUUCCAUCCUUGGCCUGGUUCAGAUCUCCCUCUCACAUCGUCUCUCUCUCUCUCUUUCUCUAUUCUGAAUUAUUUGGAUAAAUUGGAGACAUCAUGCCUUUUUCACCCUAAAUAUUUCAAUGUGCAUUUCUUCAGAACAGGCUGUGCUCUUACAGAGCUGCAGUUAUGAAAAUCAGGAAAUUUCACAGCGAUACAUACCAUUACCUGAUUUACAAUCCACACUCAAAUUUUGUUAAUUGCAGCAAUAAUGUCUCUUUUUAUUUUUCUGUCCAAAACCCAAUCCAGGAUUACAUGUUGCAGUUGGUU